rnacentral:rRNA from 1 species
CCCUUAGAUGUCCUGGGCCGCACGCGCGCUACACUGAUGCAUUCAACGAGUUCUACCUUGGCCGAGAGGCCUGGGCAAUCUUUUGAACCUGCAUCGUGAUAGGGAUAGAUUAUUGCAAUUAUUAAUCUUGAACGAGGAAUUCCUAGUAAACGCAGAUCAUCAAUCUGCAUUGAUUACGUCCCUGCCCUUUGUACACACCGCCCGUCGCUCCUACCGAUUGAAUGCUCAGGUGAGCCAUUCGGACUUUCAUCAUGCUGGUUUCCAGUUUUGAUGAAGGAAAGUCUUGCGAACCUUAUCAUUUAGAGGAAGGAGAAGUCGUAACA